CUCGGGUUCAAGUGAUUCUCCUGCCUCAGUCUCUGGAGCAGCUUGGACUACAGGAUUACUUGGAAGAUUCUGUGAGAUAAUCUUGUGAUAUAUCUGGCACAGUUUCAAAGAGUGACCAGAAUUUGUUCAACCAGCGAAAUUCAUCAGAACUUCCUUUGGACUCUCCAGUAUGUCCCACUUGAACUUGGGAAUGAGACAGAAGCUGUGUAAACCUUGGGUUAUUGUAUAACCUCUGU
rnacentral:lncRNA from 13 species